GUGCCAGCCGCCGCGGUAAUACCGGCAGCCCGAGUGAUGGCCGAUCUUAUUGGGCCUAAAGCGUCCGUAGCUGGCUGCGCAAGUCCGUCGGGAAAUCCACUCGCCCAACGAGUGGGCGUCCGACGGAAACUGCACAGCUUGGGACCGGAAGACCCGAGGGGUACGUCCGGGGUAGGAGUGAAAUCCCAUAAUCCCGCACGGACCACCGAUGGCGAAAGCACUUCGGGAAGACGGAUCCGACGGUGAGGGACGAAAGCCAGGGUCUCGAACCGGAUUAGAAACCCCUGUAGUCC
rnacentral:rRNA from 1 species